rnacentral:rRNA from 1 species
UGGGGGAUAGCUCGGGGAAACUCGAAUUAAUACCGCAUACGACCUACGGGUGAAAGGGGGCGCAAGCUCUUGCUAUUAGAUGAGCCUAAAUCAGAUUAGCUAGUUGGUGGGGUAAAGGCCCACCAAGGCGACGAUCUGUAACUGGUCUGAGAGGAUGAUCAGUCACACCGGAACUGAGACACGGUCCGGACUCCUACGGGAGGCAGCAGUGGGGAAUAUUGGACAAUGGGGGCAACCCUGAUCCAGCCAUGCCGCGUGUGUGAAGAAGGCCUUUUGGUUGUAAAGCACUUUAAGCAGGGAGGAGAGGCUAAUGGUUAAUACCCAUUAGAUUAGACGUUACCUGCAGAAUAAGCACCGGCUAACUCUGUGCCAGCAGCCGCGGUAAUACAGAGGGUGCGAGCGUUAAUCGGAAUUACUGGGCGUAAAGCGAGUGUAGGUGGCUCAUUAAGUCACAUGUGAAAUCCCCGGGCUUAACCUGGGAACUGCAUGUGAUACUGGUGGUGCUAGAAUAUGUGAGAGGGAAGUAGAAUUCCAGGUGUAGCGGUGAAAUGCGUAGAGAUCUGGAGGAAUACCGAUGGCGAAGGCAGCUUCCUGGCAUAAUAUUGACACUGA